rnacentral:rRNA from 1 species
GAUGAACGCUGGCGGCGUGCCUAAUACAUGCAAGUCGAACGCAUUGUGGUUGAAAUGAUAUGAAGAACUUGUUCAGAUUUGAUUUUCAACAUUGCAAUGAGUGGCGAACGGGUGAGUAACACGUGGGAAACCUACCUCUUAGCAGGGGAUAACAUUUGGAAACAAAUGCUAAUACCGUAUAAUAAUUAAAACCGCAUGGUUUUAGUUUAAAAGAUGGUCUUGCUAUCACUAAGAGAUGGUCCCGCGGUGUAUUAGUUAGUUUGGUGAGGUAAAUGGCUCACCAAGACAAUGAUACAUAGCCGAAGUUGAGAGACUGACCGGCCACAAUGGGACUGAGACACGGCCCAUACUCCUACGGGAGCAGCAGUAGGAAUCUUCCACAAUGGACGAAAGUCUGA